UACAGAGGUCUCAAGCGUUGUUCGGAUUCAUUGGGCGUAAAGGGUGCGUAGGCGGCGCGGUAAGUCGGGUGUGAAAUCUCGGAGCUUAACUCCGAAACUGCAUUCGAUACUGCCGUGCUUGAGGACUGGAGAGGAGACUGGAAUUUACGGUGUAGCGGUGAAAUGCGUAGAUAUCAGGAGGAACACCAGCGGCGAAGGCGGCGCUCUGGGCCGGUACUGACGCUGAGGAGCGAAAGCGUGGGUAGCAAACAGG
rnacentral:rRNA from 1 species